GCCCGGGGAUGAGCGCGCAGACCUGGACCAAACCAUCCGGCUGGAGCCUCCCUCGGCUGCCUUCCACGAUUGGUCAGAAACCAUUUUGGAAGUGGGCAACGUGAAAUCUUUUUCACGGGCGAACCGGAACCUGGAGAGCUGGCACCAGAUAUCCUCAUGAUAACAGGACAGGAGCAGUUGUUCCCUUGGAGGAGGAAAACUGCCCAGUUGAAAACCACCGUUUUGUCUGAAUUCCCAACUCGGCUAUAAUUCAAAGUGCUUGCCGUGAAGGUUUAUCCCACAUCAGUCUCAUCAAGCUAACCAUCCAGAUUUAGAAUUGUGGCCCAAUAAAGUAUCCAGGUUGGCCCACAGUAUGCACAAGUAAAAUUCAUCCUUUGGAUUACGACUUCAGGCACUGUAUCUUCUCGACACAACGAAGAACCAAGUGCUGUGUCUGCCCAGACGUUUACAACUGCCACGAAGUCUUCCAGUGCAACCUGCAAGCACCCCCUUUUCCUUAUUGGCUUUAGAUACACAAUCAGCUUUUCAGAUGAGUGCGGGGCCGUCCCAAGAAUCCUGACCGACCUAGUCCAUUCUCCUCGGGUGUGGAGUCCUUGAAAAGUGAAUGAAGCUAAUACAGGAUGCAGUAACAUAAAGGCAGUAUCUAAAAGCUCUAA